AGCCAUUCUCAUAUAAUUAAACUGUAUUGAUGAUGAUAAGUAACUUUUAUUAAAAAGAAAAUGAAUAAUUCAUAAAGGAAAACCUCAAAAGUUUGUGCCAAAUGCACUUUAUUAAAUGUUAUCGUUUUAUUUGUAUUAUUGUAUCUGAAAAAA